AUCACUACAUCGGUAGAAAAAAGACAAGACAAGCAAUGAAUAAGCGGAUCGUAUUUGCAAUCUGCGUCGUGGCUGCCUGUGCUUCGUUAAUUGGUGCACAUUGUCAUCAAAACGGGGAAAUCUGCACUUGUGUUGGGUCGAAGAAUGGUGUUUGUUUAAACGAUGAAUGCAUCUGCGAGAAUAUUAGAAGAAAACGGUCAUCAUGUUCAAAUCACCGUCAAUGUCACUGGUGUCAAGGGUAUUGUCAGGGCGGUUCUUGUGUUUGUCCAGCCGCCUAUAGGUAUGUUUGAUUUUCUAAUCUUCUGUUUGUGGACAGCCAGUGAAGUGUUCAAGUCACACAGGAAACGGUUAUGUUUCUUGAAAUAAGCUUGAUUGCAAAGACACUGGAAGAGCGUGAAGACUGUAUUGUGCAUAAUGUUUUAUAAAUUAUUACAACAAUCUGCAUAUAACAUUUAACACAUAGUCAUGUUUUUAUAACUUUCACAAUCUGCUCUCUAAAUUCUUUUCUUUCAAUGAUUCGGUUGUAACAAUGACGAAACAAAAGACAAUGUUGUUUUGCAACUAAGCAUAACAUCUGGAAUGAAAAUGGACGGAUUAAUAAUGUGGAUACUUAUAAUAUAAUCAUUUGUUUUUGAAACAGAAAUAUAUAUAUUGGAAUCUCCUUUAUCGUUGUGAUACGUUUUUAUAUACAGUAUAUAACACCUGAAGAAAGUAGUUCCUCUACACGCCAAAAGUCGUUAAUAACAAGCAAUUGCCUUACAAAAAUAUUGAAAUAUUUUUGUCUUAAGAAACCAUUAAAAGUUAAACCUACUAAAAAUACUAUGUUUUCUACAAAAGAUAGUGAAAAAUCAGAAACACCACUUCACUUGUUUAGGCGUUAUGCCUUGUUGAAAUAUACUGCUCUUGUUCGUAUUUUUUGCUUUAAGAUACAUACGUUAUGCAACAUUUAGGUGCACUUAUUCACGAUUUUAUGGAUACAUACAAACAAGAAAUUAUUCUUGGUUGAAGCUAUAAAGUUCUAUGUAUACGACUUUUGAUAAUCAUGAUUACCUCUUACAUUAUAAGUUAACGUUGGCUUCGAGUUAUAAAAGAAUAUAA